rnacentral:rRNA from 1 species
GAUGAACGCUGGCGGCGUGCCUAAUACAUGCAAGUCGAGCGAACGGACGAGAAGCUUGCGUCUCUGAGGUUAGCGGCGGACGGGUGAGUAACACGUGGAUAACCUACCUAUAAGACUGGGAUAACUUCGGGAAACCGGAGAUAAUACCGGAUAAUAUGUUGAACCGCAUGGUUCAAAAGUGAAAGACGGCCUUGCUGUCACUUAUAGAUGGAUCCGCGCUGCAUUAGCUAGUUGGUAAGGUAACGGCUUACCAAGGCAACGAUGCAUAGCCGACCUGAGAGGGUGAUCGGCCACACUGGAACUGAGACACGGUCCAGACUCCUACGGGAGGCAGCAGUAGGGAAUCUUCCGCAAUGGGCGCAAGCCUGACGGAGCAACGCCGCGUGAGUGAUGAAGGUCUUCGGGUCGUAAAACUCUGUUAUUAGGGAAGAACAUAUGUGUAAGUAACUGUGCACAUCUUGACGGUACCUAAUCAGAAAGCAACGGCUAACUACGUG